rnacentral:rRNA from 1 species
AGUGAACGCUGGCGGUAGGCCUAACACAUGCCAGUCGAACGGCAGCAAAGUAAGAGCUUGCUCUUACGGGUGGCGAGUGGCGUACGGGUGAGGAAUACAUCGGAAUCUACUUUUUAGUGGGGGAUAACGUAGGGAAAUAUACGCUAAUACCGCAUACGAACUACGGGUGACAGCAGGGGAGCUUCGGACCUUGCGCGAUUGAAUGAGCCGAUGUCGGAUUUGCGAGUUGGCGGGGGAAAGGCCCACCAAGGCGAAGAUCCGUAGCUGGUCUGAGAGGAGGAUCAGCCACACUGGGACUGAGACACGGGCCAGACUCCGACGGGAGGCAGCAGUGGGGAAUAUUGGACAAUGGGCGCAAGCCUGAUCCAGCCAUACCGCGUAGGUGAAGAAGGCCUUCGGGUUGUAAAGCCCUUUUGUUGGGAAAGAAAAGCAGCAGGUUAAUACCCCGCUGUUCUGACGGUACCCAGAGAAUAAGCACCGGCUAACUUCGUG